rnacentral:tRNA from 1 species
AGUAGUGAAGUAAAAAUUACAUUUAGCUUCGACCUAAAAAAUAGAGCAAAGCUCCUUACUU